rnacentral:rRNA from 1 species
GCCGCGGGAUUAGAGUUUGAUCCUGGCUCAGGAUAAACCCCUGCGGCGUGCCUAACACAUGCAAGUCGAACGCGCUUUCGGGCUUCGGUGCGAGAGCGAGUGGCGGACGGGUGAGUAACACAUGGGUACCUGCCUUUCAGUGAGGGAUACCGGCGAGAAAUCUCCGACAAUACCGCAUGGGCUUGUGGGAACACAAACUCAAUGGCGCAAGCCACGCUGGAAGAUGGGCCUGUG